AAACUAACAAGGAUUCCCCUAGUAACGGCGAGUGAAGCGGGAAGAGCUCAAAUUUAAAAUCUGGCAGGCUACGCUUGUCCGAAUUGUAAUCUCGAGAAGUGUUUUCCGCGUUGGCCUGUGUACAAGUCCCUUGGAACAGGGCGUCAUAGAGGGUGAGAAUCCCGUCCUUGACACAGACACCCAAUGCUUUGUGAUACACUCUCAAUGAGUCGAGUUGUUUGGGAAUGCAGCUCAAAAUGGGUGGUAAAUUCCAUCUAAAGCUAAAUACUGGCGAGAGACCGAUAGCGAACAAGUACCGUGAGGGAAAGAUGAAAAGCACUUUGGAAAGAGAGUCAAACAGUACGUGAAAUUGUUGAAAGGGAAACGAUUGAAGUCAGUCGUGCCUGCCUAGUCUCAGCCUUUUGGUGUACUACUAGGUCGGCAGGUCAGCAUCAGUUUGGGAGGAUUAACAAGGGAGUUAGGAAUGUGGCAACCUCGGUUGUGUUAUAGCCUAGCUUCGCAUUGAUCUUGCUGGACUGAGGAACGCAGUGCGCCCGCAAGGGUUGGUCUUCGGACACAUUCGCACUUAGGAUGCUGGCAUAAUGGCUCUUGA
rnacentral:rRNA from 1 species